AUGUCACUAUGAUCCAGAUUGAUGGGCCUAAUGAAAGAGCCCAAUGAAAAACCCGUGUAUGAACACAGUAGAAGAAUCGUCAUUUCUUCCAGAUCUUCAUACAUUUUGUUUUCAAUUCACAAAAUCGGAAAUUUUUGCUCAAACUUUGAAUUCUGGAUUUCUGUUAUUUCUAUGAUUUUGAAGAUUUUUGUGUAAAUUGUUGUUAAGAUCCCCAAAAUCGAAAUGGUUUUGUGCUACCCGUCAUCUCCUUCAAAGUUUGCUGCUACAUUGGCGUGUUUUUUUGGUGGUUCUGUUCUGUUUGCUUUUGGUGUACAUCAUUCUUAUAUCAAUAUUGCUCCUCAACAAGCUCGAACUAAAGCUCGGAAUGACUUUGUCAAGGAUCGAUUGAGAAAGAAAUAUGGCAAAUAAUUCAUGGAGGUGGUACAGUUGUUAGAGAUCGUGAUGGUCUUUGGUUCUUUCUAUGGCAUUUGCAGUAAUGGUAGAUAGCAGAAGCUAAGGAUUGGCAUUGCUAAUUUGGGUGUUACAGACAAAGAGCACAUUGUUGUCUUCAGUGAAGCAAGAGCAGGAUCGAAUAUGACUAAUACACCAAACCCUGUUUGUGGUACUCAGUGAACUUUGUGCUAACUUUACUCUUUUGUUCUAUAUGGAAAAUGAAAGAUGUAUCGCUGUGUAGACUCUGUAUUUGAUGCAAAUGAACUGUGCUAUACCUAAAACCAUUUGUAUUACGUGCCUUGGAGGCUAAGGUGUAUGUCUAUGGUGCAUCCUUUGAUUAAAGAAAAUGUGGAUGCGUAAGCUAUGCACAUUUUUUAUAUCAAGUAAAUGUACCAUGAAUUUACUAACGUUGCAUUUGACUGUU